AGAGGCUCCCCCUCCCGGCUGUCCCGAAGCUCAGGCCCCGCCCUCCGCCCUCCCACUCCCCUGCUGCAGCCACUUCCGGCAGGCGCUGCGCUGCUGGGGGGCGCGGGUGAGGAUGGCGGCGGAGAACGAGGCCAGCCAGGAGAGCGCCCUGGGCGCCUACUCGCCAGUGGACUACAUGAGCAUCACCAGCUUCCCGCGGCUGCCCGAGGACGAGCCGGCGCCCGCGGCCCCGCUGAGGGGCCGCAAGGACGAGGACGCCUUUCUGGGAGACCCCGACACCGACCCGGACUCCUUCCUGAAGUCGGCACGGCUGCAGCGGCUGCCAUCGUCGUCGUCGGAGAUGGGCAGCCAAGACGGGUCGCCGCUACGCGAGACGCGCAAAGACCCGUUCUCCGCGGCAGCGGCCGAGUGCUCCUGCCGCCAGGAUGGGCUCACGGUCAUCGUCACGGCCUGUCUCACCUUCGCUACCGGUGUCACCGUGGCGCUGGUCAUGCAGAUCUACUUCGGGGACCCCCAGAUCUUCCAACAGGGUGCCGUGGUGACCGAUGCUGCCCGCUGCACUUCACUGGGCAUCGAGGUGCUCAGUAAACAGGGAUCUUCUGUGGACGCAGCAGUGGCAGCAGCCUUGUGUUUGGGGAUCGUGGCUCCACACAGUUCUGGCCUGGGCGGUGGGGGCGUGAUGCUGGUACAUGACAUCCGACGAAAUGAGAGCCACCUAAUUGAUUUCCGCGAGUCCGCACCAGGGGCCCUCAGGGAAGAGACCCUGCAAAGAUCCUGGGAGACCAAGCCUGGGCUCUUGGUGGGGGUUCCCGGAAUGGUGAAGGGGCUAUAUGAAGCUCACCAGCUCUAUGGCAGGCUGCCAUGGUCCCAAGUCCUGGCCUUCGCAGCAGCUGUGGCCCAAGAUGGCUUCAACGUGACUCAUGAUCUAGUCCAGUCCUGGCGCCCUGCCCUGCCCAGCCUCCCGUCCCUGCCCCUAGCCCGUGCCCUGGCUGAACAGCUGCCACCCAACAUGUCUGAGCGCUUCCGGGAGACAUUCCUGCCAUUGGGCCGCCCGCCACUACCUGGCUCGCUGCUGCAUCGGCCCGACCUGGCUGAGGUGCUGGAUGUACUUGGCACCUCCGGCCCGGCUGCCUUCUACGCAGGUGGCAACCUCACACUGGAGAUGGUGGCCGAGGCUCAGCACGCAGGGGGUGUCAUAACCGAAGAGGACUUCAGCAAUUACAGCGCCCUUGUGGAGAAGCCUGUGUGUGGCGUGUACAGAGGCCACCUGGUUCUUAGUCCCCCGCCCCCGCACACGGGCCCUGCCCUCAUCAGUGCUCUCAACAUCCUGGAGGGCUUCAAUCUCACCAGCCUGGUAUCCCGAGAACAGGCUCUUCACUGGGUGGCAGAGACCCUGAAGAUUGCGUUAGCCCUGGCCAGCAGACUGGGAGAUCCCGUCUAUGAUUCUACCAUCACUGAGAGCAUGGAUGAUAUGCUCAGCAAGGUGGAGGCUGCCUACCUCCGGGGCCAUAUCAAUGACUCCCAGGCAGCCCCUGCCCCACUCCUGCCUGUCUAUGAACUAGACGGAGCUCCCACGGCUGCCCAGGUGCUGAUCAUGGGACCUGAUGACUUCAUUGUGGCCAUGGUUAGCUCCCUGAACCAGCCCUUUGGCAGUGGCCUUAUCACCCCCUCGGGGAUCCUGCUCAACAGCCAGAUGCUGGACUUCUCCUGGCCCAACCGGACAGCUAACCACUCUGCACCCAGCCUGAAUCUUCUAGUAUAAGGAAGCCUAAAGAAGAUGUUCACCUCAUCCCUAGCCCUGCUAAGUCUGGGACGUGGAGCCUGGUGGGUCUGAAGAACCCUUGUCCCAUUCUGUCACUGUCUUACUGUGUGACCUUGUGAAGAUCUUGCCCUCUCUGGGCAAUUUCUUCACCUGUACAAUGAGGGUUUUGGCUCCUAUUUGAUGUUUUGGACACUUUCCAGCACUAGUGGUCUGUGACUAUGUGAGCUUGAGUUGAUGGGGCUCAGCCCUAUGGCUGGGCACCAAAGAGGGACCCAAGGAGGAAGGAUUUAAUAAUUUUUAUCUAGUUAAAAAUCAGCACUCUUACACCCCGCAAUCUGGGGCCCCAGCAGGGCAAAGACACAUAGAGACGAUCAGGGUGGGGUUAUCCUGUUCUUCCCCAUUGCCAUCUUUCUUGGCUUGGUCCUUUCUCCUGUGACCCAUAGCAGCCUGAUAGCUCAGUGGAUGCACUUAUCACUCCUCCAUCCAGGCACCCUACCCAUUUCACAGAUAACAAACCGUUGUCUGGGAAGGGAUCAGUCUCCCAGGAAAACUGGGCCUGUGGAAGAUGUGGAAGAGGGAGAGCAGUUGGAAGGGUUGUGGAGGGGCCCUUUCCCGGUCUUGUCCCACCCCACCUGCCCCUUGUGGUCUCUGUCCUCUAACAACAGGAGAAUUCAGUGCAGCCAGGGAAGCGGCCACUCUCUUUCCUGCUGCCCACAGUGGUCCGACCCGCGGAGGGGCUCUGUGGAACCUACCUUGCUCUGGGGGCCAAUGGAGCUGCGCGGGGCCUCAGCGGCCUGACACAGGUUCUGCUGAAUGUCCUGACCUUGAACCGGAACCUGAGUGACAGCCUGGCCCGCGGCCGCCUACACCCAGACCUGCAGUCCAACCUCCUGCAGGUGGACAGUGAGUUCACAGAGGAAGAGAUUGAGUUCCUGGAAGCCAGGGGUCACCACGUGGAGAAAGUAGAUGUCUUAUCCUGGGUCCAUGGCAGCCGAAGGACCAACAACUUCAUCAUCGCUGUUAAGGACCCUCGGAGCCCAGAUGCAGCUGGAGCCACCAUCCUGU